rnacentral:rRNA from 1 species
UACGUAGGAGGCGAGCGUUGUCCGGAGUUACUGGGCGUAAAGGGUGCGCAGGCGGCGGUUCGCGUGGAUAGAUGAAAUCUCCUGGCUUACCUGGGAGGAUGGUAUCCAGACGGGAUCGCUUGAGGGUCGGAGAGGGGCGUGGAAUUCCGGGUGGAGCGGUGAAAUGCGUAGAGAUCAGGAGGAACACCGGUGGUGUAGACGGCUUUCUGGACCGUAACUGACGCUGAGACACGAAAGCGUGAGUAGCAAACAGG